UACAGAGGUGGCAAGCGUUGUUCGGAAUUACUGGGCGUAAAGGGCGCGUAGGCGGCCUCUUUAGUCAGACGUGAAAUCCCCCGGCUUAACCUGGGAACUGCGUCUGAUACUGGGAGGCUAGAGUUCGGGAGAGGGAUGUAGAAUUCCAGGUGUAGCGGUGAAAUGCGUAGAUAUCUGGAGGAAUACCGGUGGCGAAGGCGGCAUCCUGGACCGAAACUGACGCUGAGGCGCGAAAGCCAGGGGAGCGAACGGG
rnacentral:rRNA from 1 species